GCCUGGGUGACUCAAUUGGCUAAGUGUCUGACUUCAGCUCAGGUUGUGAUCUCAUGGUCUGUGGGUUCGAGCCCCACGUCAGGCU
rnacentral:tRNA from 1 species